GCCCUGCCCAGAGAGCAUCUAGUUGGAUUAGUUCGGCAUGGUGCUCCUAUCAGGAGUGUCUGCAAAGCUCCUCAUAUGUUUUUAAUAGGCAAAAGAGGUUAAGGAUCACUGCUCCAACUGGCGUCCAUCAAAUUGAGACAAAAGGUUACCAACUAGGCUCAUCGCAGAAGCAGCGUGAGAGCUGGGGAUGCAGCACCAUUCAUGACUUGUAAACGGUUUAGCCUGAGCCUUCCCAAGCCCUGUGUCACCCUAACACGGAGGUCCCCAGAGGACUGGGUGAGGUGCUCAGGACACUUUCCCACCAGCCUCUUCCCGUAUGGGUGAAGCCCAAGUUCUGGAGCUUCCGGAUUUCCCUUUUGAUUCUGAAGAGCCUUUUCUCCUUUCAACAAAUCCUGCCUCUCUUUGUACCAAUCUUAAUUCUCCUCGAUGAAUGCUGCUGACUUACUAGGGGAAAGGUCAAGAGGAAAAAGUGUAGCAUGGAAAAGCAGGAGGAACAACAUUGCAAGACUCUUUCUAUGUAAGAAACACUGCAGCACUGGUAUAUGUGCCACCUGCCCCACCCAUGCCCAGAAGGCCAGGCUGUCCCUGCUGGGGGGGGGAGUAAAGAAGAGACUCCAGAGCUGUCUGUGUACUAGAAGUUCUGAUUCAUACUCAUGAAUACAUUGUUUUCUUUAAGAAGUCAAUGGCAUGAAGGGGCUUGGCUCUAGGUUAAGAAAUCGUUAAGAGGUUGAACAAAUUUUCUUGGCAUCUGUUUGGAACAAACCACUGUCAUUCAUUUGGGGACAAAUUUGAUUACAGACUGGGUAUGAGAUAGUACCUCUGAAUUAUUGUUUAUGUUAAUGAUGUUUAUAUAAGAAGACUUCAUUUUUGAAGGGAAGUAUAAUGAGAUUUGGGGUAAAUGAUAUGAUGGAGAGAGAGAGAAGGAGAGAAGUAAGUAAAGAAGGGAAAAGAACAGGUACAAAAAGAAAUAAGAAUAUACAAAUCAUAAUAAUUGUUAAAUUGUUUUGAUUCAGGGUUCUGGUAUGUAACCCAGGCUAGCCUUGAACUAACAAUGUAACCAAGGCUAGCCUUGAGCUUGAGCAACCCUUUGUGCCUCAGCCUCCCCAAGUAUCGGAUGACAUACAGGCCAGUGCCACCACGAUCAACUUCACUUGCUGGGUUUUUCAUGAGUUUAAAAAGUUUCAAAAUAGGCUUUUCAAUAUUAUUAAAUUAGUGCAGGAAAAGACAGAUUGAGCCCCAGAAGAGAACUAAAGGACCAGAAGCAUUCAAACAUUUACUGUUUGAGAAGUUAUCGGAGUACUCGUCUACAAGCCGAUGAACUCUUUCUCCAAAUAAAACUUGACAUGAAGCCCCAACAUA